UAUAAGCCGAGUGCCAAAUCUGAGGUAUUGUGGUUUGCAGGUAUUCAAAUGUAUGCGUACACACCCCAGGUAUUCGAGUAUUCAAAUGUAUAUGUAUACACCCCGGCUACAAACGCCCACACAUACAUAGUAAUCAAUCGAGUGGAUCGAUUAGCUAGCUAUAUACAUACUACUAGUGGUCUAGUACACAUGAGAGUAGAUCGAGCGGCUCGAUUAGCUAGAUAGAGGCUAGCUUUGCUUGCUGGUGGAUCGAUGCGGCCGUGCUGGAGCACUCACCCGCCGGCGAGGAGGAGCACUGCAUCGAGCUGAGCAUGGACGGGUAGCUUCUGCUGCCGCGAGCUGCUGCUGCUUGCUCCGUUGACUGCUUCUCUUUGAGGAGGCUGCGGCACUUCGGCGUAGGCGGCGGCGGCGUGGAGUGGAGAAGGAGUGGACAGAGAGGAGGGAGAGCCGGUAGCCAUUGAG
rnacentral:lncRNA from 1 species